AUGUCUGGCACCAAUGUGGAUUUCGUGUGUUGGAAUGUGAGAGGCCUCAAUAGUCCGGCCAAGAAGAAGGCCCUUAGGGAAUUUGUAGAUUCUAUCAAUGUCGCUUUCAUUUGUAUCCAGGAGACCAAAUUGGCUGUGGUGGACCGCUUUACUAUUCUGCAAUGUCUUGGCCCGACGUAUGACGGUUUUGCCUAUCUUCCUGCCAUUGUGACACGUGGAGGUAUUUUGUUGGCAUGGAAUUCGACUCUAGUCCAGGUGUCUAACCUGGUCAAUGACUCAAAUUUCAUCACGGGCUAUGUCGCUCCUCUAGUGGGAUCGCCCUGGUGGCUAUCUGUUGUGUAUGCCCUCCAGGGGGACACGGAAAAGAUUGCUUUCCUAGAUGAAUUGGUGGAAAGACGUGCUCCAUGCCUGGGGCCUUGGAUGGUGAUUGGCGACUUCAACCUCAUCCUGUGUGCUUCUGACAAGAGCAACGCCAACCUUGAUAGGAGGAUGAUGGGUAGAUUUAGGCGUUUUAUCGACAACAUGGGACUAAAAGAAACUCUUCCUUCAUGGCCGCAAAUUCACUUGGAAUAA
rnacentral:rRNA from 1 species